GAGAGGAAAUCGCUGACAGGCUCGUUGAAACCUUGUUAGGUGACAAGCAGGUAGAUGAAACUCAAGAGAAAAGGUGUGGAUAAAUGAAACUAGCCCAUGAUGAACCUGUUUUCUCCGUGACCACAAUAUUAACCAGGAUGAUGGCGACUGAGUUAUUUGUUCGGCUAGGCGUUGUAGAAAUUGGAAACCAAAAUGAAGAGGAACUUUAGGAGUUUGCAGUCUAGUGGAAGACAUCCAAUUUUGGUGGCAGUGGGCCUGCAUCACAGGUUGCAGCAGAUGUUCUCAAUAUUUCUAUUAAAAUUUCCUUAUUUCCAUAUGCAAGAGGAGCCCCAGAGCUGCAUCCUUAUGGUAGCUACCAUGCCGUGAUGUAAGCUGCCAUUCACUGGGGAGCUUUGGCAAUAGAAUUGGCUAGAUCAGCAAGCCCAUGUCAACUAUGGAACAACAACUUGCAGCUCAUCUCUAUUGAUGGACUGAUAACAAUGAUAUUGGAAGAAUAGAUACUAAGUCUUGGAGAGGUGAAACAGUCGCAAAUGGAAUUUCAAGAAACAUUCUAUGUAAGUCCUGGCUUUGAAAUACUUUGUCAUCCUAAGAAGCUUGGACUUUAUCCUGUCAAAGAAAUGACAAAUCAGAUCAUUCCAGCUGCAGUAUGGAGAAUAGAGUGAAGUGGGGUAACACUGGUUUAGUGGCACAAAUUAAGCAUCUACGUAAGAGAGGAUACUGACCUGAACUAGGGUUAAAGUAGUGGGGAUGGAGAUAAAUAGAUAGUUUGAGAGAAAUUAAGAGGAUAGAAUGACUAGGACUUAGCAGUUGACUGGAUAUGGUGGGCCUGGUGAAUGAGAGGCAGGAGUCAAGAUUGAUGGUCAGGUUUCUGACUUGGGCCGUGGGUACAUAGUGAUGCUUGUACUAAGAUUGAGAAAGUAAAAGGGAAAGUAAAUAUCAAGCAGUUUCAAGCAGCAGUCAGCUGCUGGGCUGGCUCACCACACUUCUGUAGAUUCCGUUGAAAAGGAGACAAUGAGCCUAGAUAGAUUUAGACAGUUUAUUACUCAAAGCAAAGUAGGCAGCAUGAUCUUCAUGCAUCUAUGAAUUCCCCAAAUCCCAUGAUACAGAGUGAGGCCCAGACAGAUGCUGUGUACACGGUGGACCUGUGUCCUCCCAAUCUUAUAAGAGGCUACUUGCAAACUUGCCCAAAAUCAUUGUCCUGGAGGUUGACAUUAUCUUUGUUAUGCUGGUCAGGAAACAAAUGUACCCUCUAACCCGGAAGCAUAUCCUGUCUUUACUCAAAGACAAAUAAAAACACCAUGGACAAUUACCUU
rnacentral:lncRNA from 1 species